UGGGGAAUAUUGGACAAUGGGCGAAAGCCUGAUCCAGCCAUGCCGCGUGAGUGACGAAGGCCUUAGGGUUGUAAAGCUCUUUUGGCGGGGAAGAUAAUGACGGUACCCGCAGAAUAAGCUCCGGCUAACUUCGUGCCAGCAGCCGCGGUAAUACGAAGGGAGCUAGCGUUGUUCGGAAUCACUGGGCGUAAAGCGCACGUAGGCGGAUUGUUUAGUCAGGGGUGAAAUCCCGGGGCUCAACCUCGGAACUGCCUUUGAUACUGGCAAUCUCGAGUCCGAUAGAGGUGGGUGGAAUUCCUAGUGUAGAGGUGAAAUUCGUAGAUAUUAGGAAGAACACCGGUGGCGAAGACGGCCCACUGGAUCGGUACUGACGCUGAGGUGCGAAAGCGUGGGGAGCAAACAGGAUUAGAUACCCGUGUAGUCCCUGAGCGGGCUGGCAAGGCGCAU
rnacentral:rRNA from 1 species